CCUACGGGAGGCAGCAGUGAGGAAUAUUGGUCAAUGGGAGAGAUCCUGAACCAGCCAAGCCGCGUGAGGGAAGACGGCCCUAUGGGUUGUAAACCUCUUUUGUCGGAGAACAAAACCCGGGACGUGUCCCGGCCUGCGUGUAUCCGUAGAAAAAGGCUCGGCCAACUCCGUGCCAGCUGCCGCGGUAAUACGGAGGAUGUGGGCGUUAUCCGGAUUUAUUGGGGUUAAAGGGUGCGUAGGCGGUCCGUUAGGUCAGUGGUAAAAAUUUGGGGCUAAACCCCGCUGGGCCGUUGAAACUGGGAGCCUUGAGUAGGCGAGAGGUAGGCGGAAUGCGCGGUGUAGCGGUGAAAUGCAUAGAUAGCACGCAGAACCCCGAUUGCGAAGGCAGCCUACCGGCGCCAGACUGACGCUGAGGCACGAAAGUGUGGGGAUCGAACAGGAUUAGAUACCCUAGUAGUC
rnacentral:rRNA from 1 species